rnacentral:rRNA from 1 species
UACGUAGGCAGCAAGCGUAGUUCGGAAUUACUGGGCGUAAAGAGUGUGUAGGCGGUGUUCUAAGUCUGGUGUGAAAUCUCCCGGCUCAACUGGGAGGGUGCGCCGGAAACUGGAAUGCUUGAGGAUGGGAGAGGUAAGCGGAAUUCCUGGUGUAGCGGUGAAAUGCGUAGAUAUCAGGAGGAACACCUGUGGUGUAGACAGCUUACUGGACCAUUUCUGACGCUGAGACACGAAAGCUAGGGGAGCAAACAGG